UCUAAUGUGGCAGAUUAUGCUAUGAAUUUAAAAUUCUUAUAUAAAUAUAAAUAUUUCUUUAGAA
rnacentral:tRNA from 1 species